AGUUAUUUCCUGCUCUUGGAUUGCAGAAGCAUAACUUUCUAAAUCUGACGUGAUAUAGCAGUCAAGUAUCUAACUGAGGAUAGCCUGCAUUUAAAUUGAUGCAAUGAUUGCAUUGUUGAAUUAAAUGGAGUCACUUUAAACGGUCGUACUGCAUCACAUCUUGGUAUCCUGUUGCUUAUUUUGAUUUUGAUCAUCUUACUUUGAGUGGUACGGAUAAUGCCGCACUGACCUGGUGCCUCAACAUAAAUUCUGCGCUGAGUUGCUGAAGUAGAAUUUUCUAGAACUUUCGAGAAAUUUUUAAAAGUUUUAAUAACAUCAUUAGCGUUCUGGUGACACAGCUGGAAUUAUAAGAGCAGGGAUAGAAAGCUCAACAGUUCAAUUUCUUUCUAGCUGUUCAAGUGGAGACAAGUUUGAGAAAAGCAAAUUUUGAAGGAAAUAUCAGCCAUCUUUCAUACUUUCUAGGGAUAAGCAAAUAAGAAAUAACAGCUGCUGCCCAAAGACAAAAAUCGUGUUGUAUUUCAUAGAAGCAGAGUACCAUCCACACUAAUUUCUAUUUUCAGCUUACAAAUUCAUUAGGAAUGGUUUACUGUUUGCUCCUCUAUGACUUAUAACCUAAGUUCAUGAGGUUGGAUAAGUUAUUGUGACGUAGAAUAAAUAAGAACGUAACAUUUCGAGAUUGAUUUGCUGUUUGAAAGAGAAAAAUGGAAAUACUUUCUACUUCUCAGGCCCAAAGGUUAGUCUCGAACGGUCAGAUUCUUCUUCUAAUUACGCUAAACGAGUGGUUCUCAACCAUUUUUUACCUAUAGACCACUUUGAUUUCUAUUUUACUCGGGUGGAUUCCUACGGCUAUUUGAUGUUUAAGAAAUAUUUUUAUAAUUCAAAUAUUAUGAAUUGUAUGAACAAUUGUUAAAAUAUUUUGUGCAUUGUAAAAGUGUUACCAAUUUAUUG